UUAUUAUUGGCUGGGUGGUAAAGCAGUAGAUUACUAAUCUAUUGUCGGUAACGGUGUGUAGAUUUGAAUCCUGUAUCUUCCGCCA
rnacentral:tRNA from 1 species